AUUAGUUGCCAAGAUCCCUCAUCUUCCUUGACACCAUGAUUAACAUCACUAGGUAAACUUGCUUCACCGUUGGAAUUUGUUUCACUUUUCUCAGCAAAAAGUGGUAAGCGCUCAUUUGAAGUUUGGGCUUUUUUUUGUGAAAAUCCUUGAGAAUUUGUAAAAAGUUUUGGCUCCCAACCCUCAGGUAUUGUAGGAGGAGGAAACCAAUUAUUUUGAAAAGGUGAUUGUAAAUUAAAUACCACUACAAAUCCUGGAAGGGGAGGUAGACCAUCUGA